rnacentral:lncRNA from 1 species
CGUACCUCUCCCUUAAUCUGGGAUGCCUCCGGCUCCAGGAAGAUGGCUAUUGAAAGGCAGGGGGUGGGGAGGAGGGACGAGGGUGUGGAGACGCGCCUGUUUCUUGCAGGAAACCUGUUGCCAACAUAGUCGGAAGCCAAGGCGUCCGACCUGUGGAAAUCUAACAAGCAUAGGGGAAAGCAAAGGCAGCAUCUUAGCCCUCCCGGAGCCGGUGCCGGCCCGCGAGCCCCAGCGUCUCUGCAGACCAGUCCCCUCCAGGGUCCGGCGGGGCCCGCGCGGUGGGAGGAGUCGGGCACUGGCCGGCGACUAACGGGUCCGACUGCUGACCAAGCUAGGAGAGACCCGGACCACGGAGACAGAGACCCCGGCAUCGCGACCCCCGAGGACCUCCUCUCCUCGCCCUGUGGCACCCACUAGUCCUGGGCACUCAGCCGCGGAGAGCCCCCGACCCCGCGCGCCCAGCCCCGGGGGAGCCCACCUCCUCCCCGCGGCCCGCCCGGGCCAUGCUCCCCCGGGGCAGCGGGUGAGCCCCAGCCGGGACCGGGAUCGGAGCCCGCGCGGAGCAUGGAUCCGGGCUGGGG